rnacentral:rRNA from 1 species
UGGGGAAUAUUGCACAAUGGGCGCAAGCCUGAUGCAGCCAUGCCGCGUGUGUGAAGAAGGCCUUAGGGUUGUAAAGCACUUUCAGCGAGGAGGAAGGGUAGUGUGUUAAUAGCACAUUGCAUUGACGUUACUCGCAGAAGAAGCACCGGCUAACUCCGUGCCAGCAGCCGCGGUAAUACGGAGGGUGCAAGCGUUAAUCGGAAUUACUGGGCGUAAAGCGCACGCAGGCGGUUUGUUAAGUCAGAUGUGAAAUCCCCGCGCUUAACGUGGGAACUGCAUUUGAAACUGGCAAGCUAGAGUCUUGUAGAGGGGGGUAGAAUUCCAGGUGUAGCGGUGAAAUGCGUAGAGAUCUGGAGGAAUACCGGUGGCGAAGGCGGCCCCCUGGACAAAGACUGACGCUCAGGUGCGAAAGCGUGGGGAGCAAACA